GCAUGAGCUUGCUUUUGUUGGCCUAGCAGUGAAAACAAGUGUGCUGACCCAUGAUUUCUUACCAGGUCCUACUUCUGCCCGAAAGGCAAACCCGGCAUAGAAUACCUGAACACGGAAGAGAGCAUUAGUGCACGAUAUGUAAUCCCUUUCAAGAUCAACCUCAGCUACAUGGGCUUUCUGCAACUCCACCGUGUCGGUAAUGGAAAGCAUAACCUGAGUAUCAGCAUUUUCAAAGCAGCCAAUGCCUCUGUGUUGGUUUGAAAGAAAAUGGCACCCAAAGGGAGUGACACUGUUAGAAGGCCUUUUUGGAGGAAGUGUGUCACUGUGAGGGCAGGCUUUG